rnacentral:rRNA from 1 species
CACACCGUAAAUGAUGCUCGCUAGGUGUAUAAUUCGCAUUGCGGAUUGUGUGCCGUAAGCUAACGCGUUAAGCGAGCCGCCUGAGUAGUAUAGUCGCAAGGCUGAAACUCAAAGGGAUAGGCGGGGGAACACACAAGCAGAGGAUUGUCUCGAUUAAUUGGAUAAUAAGCCAAGAAUCUUACCCCGGUUUGACAUCCUUCAAAUUCCGCAGAAACGUGGAAGUGCUCGGUUCGCCGAGAAUGAAGUGACAGGUGC